rnacentral:lncRNA from 1 species
CACUUAUAUUGAAUAUAAUAUAGCAAGUGAAGGAGAAAAAUAUCUUCUUCCAAGUAGUUACUCUACUCAACUUUCCCUGAAAUAAGCUCUUUUAAUUACAUUUACAUUUACUGUGCUACCUCUUAAGGGGUAGGAAGAGGAGGCAGAAAGUGCAUCUAUUUUAAAAGCAGUCAGAGUUUCACUCAGCACCUGUGAUAUCUUGAUAAAUAGAUGAAGUUGGCAAUCCUUGACACAAAUGAGCAAUUCUAUAAAGAUAAGCAUUCAUUAGAAAAAUAAUUGAACACCAUAUAGAACUUUAAUCAUCAAAAAUAAAUAUAUUUAGGAGAGAAAUAUUAUUGUUUCCUAAAGAAUCCCAUUCAUAGGAAAAGCAAGGCCUUCCUUUCUGAGUUUUUGAAUAUGUUUGCUACCUCAAUGAAAAAAAACGUACAAUAAGGCUCAAUGAAAAUAAUUCCAUGUAGUAACAGGUAAAUAUAUCUGGUCUUUUCAAAAAAUGGUUCUGGUAAGAAUUUACUAAUUAUUUCUAUCUUGUGUAUCACUGAAUAAUCAUUUGACCUUGAGAAAAAGCAAAAUGUUUAAGUUCAUCUGGUUUUGGAAAAGUUCUCUUGGUUUGAGAAAUAGGGUGAAAGCAGCUAUUACAAAGAUCUUUGUAUUAAGUCUGUUGCUCUUGCUUAAAAAAACUGAACAUUCUGACCCCGAAUCAGUAUUAGAAAUUAGGUUCUUAGAUUAAAUUAGCCUUUAUUUCUUUUCCACUUAUUUUCAGAACAUUAUCACAAGGGAAGUGGCACCAAUAUUUUUUUUUUAAAAAAGGGGUGGAGACUACUUAUAACACUAACCUAUUUUGGAACCAUAUUUUGAACCAAUAGAGAGGCACUUGGUGACAUGCCAAUCCAUAUUCAAAGUAAAGGGAAAAGGAAAAACACUGUCAUGUUUUUCAUGGAAUAAUUCCAAACCAGCAAGUCAUUAAAAUGUCAUUAAUUACAGCAUUACAUUAUAAUCUUAUUUUGUGUCACUAUCUCACUUAAAAUGUAGUAAAAGCAAAAAAUCUUGGGAAAUGAGAAAAACAGUAGAGUUGCCUUAAAAAGUCUAAUGGUGGAGGAAGGGGGAAGAAGUACUAAAUUCCUAUCACUCCCCCAUAGAGAAGAAGCCUGUUCAGGAAGUACAGGAAACUUUUUGCUUGUGGGAUAGAAUACCCUGCUAUAAAUGUGUCAUUGGCAAAUGCUGGCACCAUGAAGCACAAAACAGCAAAGGGAGCUGGCAGAUUUGGGUAGAAUUUAGAAUGCAUGGGUGGUUUUCAGAAUUAUUUCCAGUGCUAUGUUCUCUGCAUUCCAUGGGUUCCCCAGUUCCUCCCACAGUGCCUCGCACAUGGUGGAUACUUAACAUAUAUUAAUUAAAUAAACGUAUGAAGUCAAUAUAUUUCUUAACAUUAUGUAAAAGCAUGGGAUAUCUAGGUCACUAAGGAUCAGUUAAAGUUGUACUGCAGAUCCCCAAAGUCUUAUAAACAAACAAGCAGCCCUGGUUAUUUAAUAUUCACCUCCAAGUCUUACGAAAAGUGUAUUCAUUUAAAAUCCUUUAUUAAAUUAAGACAUAGCCCAGUAAGCUAUCUGUAUCCUAGACAGGCCUAACUUCAGAAGCCAACCAUAUCUGCAAGUAGAGUAGAGUCAAAAAUGCCUAGAUUUUUCUACUCCUAGGUAUCACGUAUCUACCCAAGAGAAAUGAAAAUGUAGGGCAAUACAAAAAGUUGUACACAAAUGUUCAUGGAGGCACUAUUUAUAACUGACCAAAGUGAAAGCAACCCAAAUGUCCAUCAACUGAUAAAAGGAUAAAAUAUGGAUUAUCUAUACAAUGGAAUAUUAUUUAGCAAUACAAAUAAAUGAAUUACUGACAAGUACUAUAACACAAAUGAAUCUUGAAAAUAUUAUGCUAAAUUACAAAAGGCUACACAUCAUAUGAUUCUAUUUAUUGUUAUAUGAUUCUGUUUAUGACACAUCUAGAAUAGACAAAUCUAUAGAGACAGAAAUCAAAUCAGUGUUUUCCUAGGCCUGGCAGUGAAUGGAGAUGGUGAGAAGAAUUGGGGGUGACAGCUAAAGGGGUAAGAUUUCUUGCUGAGGUGGUGAAAAUGAUCCAGAAUUGACCAUAAUGAUGGUUGUACCCCUUUGUAGUUAUGCAAAAAACCAUGCAAUUUUAUACUUUAGCUGAGUAAAUUGUAUGGUAUAGGAAUUAUUUCUCAAUAAAGCUACUGAAAGAGAAAAAUACUAGAUUUGAAUCCAAGAACCUGUAACUAACUUAGGUUAAGUUACUUCUUCGAAAAGAAGGCAACAAAAUGUCUACCUCAUGGGGUUGCUGCUAUAAUGAUUAAAUGAGAUAAUUCUGGUAAAAAGUUUCAAAUAUAGCAAGGACGUAAGUGGUAGUAUUACUGAUUAUUAUAGGACACUGGCCUAUUCACAGCCUUGCUGCUGUGAACCAUGCAGGGUGUACAUCUCAGGCCCCAGGAUCCAUAGCCUGGAGUAUAGCUGAAUGUGAAAAUGUAAUCUUGGCCAAUACUGCUCUUUGAUUUUAUGUAUGUAUGUAUGUUUAGUUUAGUUCUAUAUUUUCUUCUUCCUCUAGUUUUUUUACUCAAUGAAUUUUAUUAUAUUUGUAAUUGUACCACCAUCAUCACAACCCAAUUUUACAAUUCCAUCCUUACCCCCCAGCCCAUCCCUUCUUCCAGUUUUAUUGAGUUGUAACUGACAUAUGGCACUGUAUAAGUUUUACGUGUACAACCUAGUGAUUUGACUUACAUACAUCAUGAAAUGAUGAUUACCAUAAGUUUGGCAAAUAACCAUCAUCUCAUAUAGAUAUAACAGUAAAAGUUUUUUCCUUGUGAUGAGAACUUACAAUUUACUCUCUUAAUGACUUUCAUAUAUAACAUACAGGAAUGUUAAUUAUAUUUAUCAUGCCAUACAUGACAUCCUUAUUACUUAUUUAUCUUAUAACUGGAAGUUUGUACCUUUUGACCACCUUCAUCCUAUUUCCUCUCCACUUACCUCUGGUAACCACACAUCUGAUCCCUUUUUCUAUGAGUAGUUUUUUUUUGAAGUACAAUUGGCCUAAAACACUAUGGUAGUUCCUGGUACAUACCAUAGUGAUUCCAUAUUUCUAUACAUUUCAAAAUGAUCACCACAAUAAAUUUAAUUAUGGUCUGUCACCAUAUAAAGACAUUCCAUAAUUAUUCACUAUAUUCCCCAUGCUGUACAUUUCAUAAUCAUGACUCAUUUAUUUUGUAGCUAGAAAUUUGUACGUCUUAACUUCCCUCUCCUCUCUCCACCUACUCCCCUCUGGCAACCACUUGUUUGUUCUCUGUAUCUAUGACUCUGUUUCUUUUUGUUAUGUUUAUUCAUUUGUUUUGAUAUUUUAGACUCCACAUAUAAGUGAAAACAUAGUAUUUGUCUUUCUGUCUGGCAUUUCAUUUAGCAUAAUGCCUUCUAGUUCCAUUCCUAUUGUUGCAAAUGGCAAGAAUUAACUUUUCAUGGCUGUGUAAUACUCCAUUGUAUUCCACACCCUGAUUAUACAUUCAUCUAUUGAUGGGCACUUAGGUUGGUUCCAAACUUUGGCUGUUGCAGUGAAAAUAGAGGUACAUAUAUCUUUUUGAAUUUAUUUUUUCAUUUUCUCUGGCUAAAUACCCAGAAGUGGAAUAGCUGAAUUAUAGAAUAGUUCUAUUUUUAAUUUUUUAAGGAACUUCCAUACCAUUUUCCAUGGUGAUAGCACCAUUUACGUACCCACCAACAGUGUGUGAGAGUUCCCUUUUAUCCACAACUUUGUCAACCUUGUUGUUCAUUAUCUUUUUUAAUAGCCACUCUGACUGGUAUGAGGAUAUAUCUCUUACUUAACAUUUGUUUUUACCUGAUGAUCGGUGAUGUUGAUCAUCCUUUCAUGUGUCUGCUGGCCAUCUGUUUUCCUUCUUUUGAAAAAUGUCUAUUAAUGUCUGCCCUCCUUUAAAACUCACAUUUUUGUGGGGUUUUUUUUAUAUUGAGUUGUAUGAGUUCUUUGUAUAUGUUAGAUAUUAGCUCCUUAUCAGAUAUAUCAUUUGCAAAUAUCUUCUCCCAUUCAGUAGACUUAUUCAUUUUAUUGAGUGUUUCCUUUGUGGCAUAAAAAGCUUUGUAAUUAGAUGUAGUCCCAUUUGUUAUUUUUGCUUUUGCUUCAUUUGGCUGAGGAGACACAUCCAAAAAAAAAAAAAUAUUAUUAAGACAUCAGAGAGUGUGUUGCCUAUUUUUUCUUCUAGAAGCUUUAUGGUUUCAGGAGGUCUUACAUUUAAGUCUUUAAUCCAUUUUGGAUUUAUUUUUGUAAAUUGUGUGAGAGAGUAGUUCAGUUUGGUUAUUUUGCAUGAAGCUGUCCAGUUUUCCCAACAUGAUUUGUUGAAAAGACUGUCUUUUCCCCAUUGUAUAUUCUUCCCUUCUUUGUUGUAGAUUAAUUCUCAUGUAAGUGUGUGUUUGUUUCUGGGCUUUCUAUCCUGUUCCAUUGAACUAUAUGUCUGUUUCUGUGUCAGUACCAAACUGUUUUGAUCAAUGUAGCUUUGUAGCAUAGUUUAAAAUCAGGGAAUGUGAUACCUUCAGCUUUGUUCUUUUCUCUAGAUUUUUUUGGAUGUUCAGAGUUUUUGUAGUUUCAUACAAAUUUUAGAAAUGUUCAUUCUAAUUCUGUGAAAAAUGCCAUUGGUGUUUUGAUAGAAAUUGAAUUGAAUCUAUAGAUUUCCUUGGAGAGUAUGGUCAUUUUAAUAAUGUUGAUUCUCCCAUUCCAUGAGCAUGGUGUAUCUUUCCUCUGUAUCAUCAUCAGUUUCUUUCAUCAUUGUUUUAUAGUUUUUUGAGUGCAGGUUUUUUACCUCCUUUGCUAGAUUUAUUCCUCAAUGUUUUAUUCUUUUUGAUAAGAUUGUAAAUAUAAUUGUUUUCUUAAUUUAUCUUUCUGGUUUUUUUUUGGGGGGGGGGCCAGGGACCAAACCCACGUCGUAAUAGUUACUAGGCGUGUUCAUUAACCACUGAGCCAGGAUGGGAAGUCCUUAAUUUCUCUUUCUGAUGGUUCAUUGUUAGUGUAUAGAAAUGCAACAGAGAGGAGUUCCCGUCAUGGCUCAGUGGUUAACGAAUCCGACUAGGAACCAUGAGGUUUCGGGUUUGAUCCCUGGCCUCACUCGGUGGGUUGAGGAUCUGGCGUUGUGAUGAGCUGUGGUGUAAGUCACAGACACGGCUCAGAUCCUGUGUUCCUGUGGCUCAGGCAUAGGCCGGUGGCUACAGCUUUGAUUAGAUCCCUAACCUGGGAACCUCCACAUGCCAUGGGUGUGGCCCUAGAAAAGACAAAAAGACAAAAAAAAAAAAAAAAAAAAAAAAAG